UUACUUACCUGGCGGGGGGAUGUCACGAUCAAAGAGGUUGGUUUCCCCAGAUGGGGGGAACUUGACUGCACAAUUCUGUGGCAGUGGGGGACUGCUUUCUCGUUUUCUCUCU
rnacentral:snRNA from 1 species